rnacentral:lncRNA from 10 species
CCGGCGGGCGCUUGGCCAAACAGCCCAAGACUGCGGAAUCACACUCGCCACUGUGUACCUGGACGCCAUCUGCAGACCCAGCGCCUGCGGGGAUUCCGGAAACGGGAGAGCGGGCUUCCGGAAACGGUGACCAAUGGGAAACGUGAUCAGAUGUUACUAGGCGAACAGUCCGUUUCCAGGCAACACAGAAGGAAGAGACGCUCUCAGUCACCCUAAAAUAGACGGAGCUUUCAGCCAAUGGAUAUGCAGGUUUGCUCCAGAUUAGCCAAUAAGAAGUGUUUGGGGCCGGCCGAGCGCGGCGGCUCACGCCUGUAAUCCCAGCACUUUGGGAGGCCGAGGCGGGCGGAUCACGAGGUCAGAAGAUCGAGACCAUCCUGGCUAACACGGUGAAACCCCGUCUCUACUAAAAAUACGAAAAAUUAACCAGACGUGGUGGCGGGCGCCUAUAGUCCCAGCUACUCGGGAAGCUGAGGCCGCAGAAUGGCGUGAACCCGGGAGGCGGAGCUUGCAGUGAGCGGAUAUCACGCCACUGCACUCCUGCCUGGGCGACAGAGCGAAACUCGGUUUCAAAAAACAAAAGAAGUGCUUGUGGCCGACCUUCCUACAAGCACAGCAGAAACUUUCCUGCGCAUUUCUGCGCUGGAACGCCUACCCGCCGCGCCAAACCAAAACUUUGCAAUCACGUUUGGUGCUGUUUCCUGCACUUUCUUGGAGAUUAGCACCAGGCGCUGGAGACCCUCCCACCUCGCCCACGCCCACCGCCCGGUGAACACCGAGACCCAACCUUGUGCACCGCCAGUCUUGUGAUCAACAAACAGGCUAGUAAAGUAUAAAAAUAAAAUAAAGGAAAUGUAGUCGGGCGUGGUGGCGUGCGCCUGUAAUCCCAGCUACUCCGGAGGUUGAUGCAGGAGAAUCGCUUGAACCUGGGAGGUAGAGGUUGCGGUGAGCCGAGAUCGCGCCACUGCAUUCCAGCUUGGACAGCAAGAGCGAAACUCCGUCUGAACAUAGUAAAAUAAAAUAAAGGAAAUGGGGCCGGGCGCGGUGGCUCACGCCUGUAGUUCCAGCACUUUGGGAGGCCGAGGCGGGCCGAUUACUUGAGGUCAGGAGUUAGAGAACAGUCCGGCCGCCAACAUGAUGAAACCCCCGUCUGUACUAAAAAUACAAAAAUUAGCCAGGCGUGCUGGCGGGCGCCUGUAAUCCCACCUAGUCGGGAGGCGGAGGCACAAGAAUCGCGUGAACCGGAGAGUUGGAGAGUUGGAGAGUUGGAGAGUUGGAGAGUUGGAGAGUUGGAGGUUGCAGUGAGCCGGAGGUUGCAGUGAGCCGGAGAGGCGGAGGUUGCAGUGAGCCGAGAUCCCGCCCCUGCGCUCCAGCCUGGGCGACAGAGUGAGACUCCGUCUUAAAAUAAAAUAAAAUAGGCCGGGCGCGGUGGCUCACGCCUGUAAUCGCAGCACUUUGGGCGGCCGAGGCGGCUGGAUUGCCUGAGCUCAGGAGUUCGAGACUAUCCUGGGCAACGUGGUGAAACCCCGUCUCUACUAAAAAUACAAAAAUUGGCCGGGCGCGGUGGCUCACGCCUGUAAUCCCAGCACUUUGGGAGGCCGAGUCGGGUGGAUCAUCUGAGGUCAGGAGUUCAAGACGAGCCAGACCAACAUGGAGAAACCCCGUCUCUACUAAAAAUACAAAAUUAGCCGGGGUGGUGGCGCAUGCCUGUAAUCCAGCUACUCGGGAGGCUGAGGCAGAAGAAUCGCUUGAACCCGGGAGACGGAGGUUGCGGUGAGCCAAGAUCGCGCGCGCCAUUGCACUCCAGCCUGGGCAACAAGAGUGAAACUCCGUCUCAAAAGAAAAAAAAAAAGAAAAAAACAAAAACAAAAAUUAGCGGGGCAUGGCGGCGCAUGCCUGUAAUCCUACCUAUUUGGGAGGCUGAGGCAGGAGAAUCACUUGAACCCGGGAGGCGGAGGUUGCAGUAAGGGAAACUCCGUCUUUAAAUAAAUAAGUAAAAAGGAAAUGGAUAGAGGAAACAUUAAUGCAUGAAAUCAAACAAAUGCUUUCGCUGAAGGGCUCCAUCUUUGCAAAACCGAACCUAGGACAAUGUGCACGUUUGUAACUAGCAAUUCCGUAGGACAGAUCGGAGAGGCAGCAUGAACUUGAUUUUCUGUAAUUUAAGAGUUGUCAGUAAAGUCAGUGUUUGCAGGCAUUUUCAGUGUUCUGCAGUGGGCUUCAGUUCGGCAGUGUGGCAGGCCAGGUUUCCAUUAGCAACCAGAACAGUUUCCAUUAACACUUUACUAUAAUUUUGAUGAAUGCAUAAGUUAAACGUUAAAGAAAUUGAGAAACUGGUGCCUGAGUAUCAGGGAUGGAAUGCGAAAACGAACCCAUUAAGACCCCGCCUGGGUCCUCUCAGACCCUAAAGUCUGAUCGAAUAAUAAUAGUAUUCUUACACAUUCACCUGGGCCUGUCUUAAGAUUCAGAAACUUUCCAAGACUCUAGAGAAAUCUUUCCAGACCCUAGACCGUAGUUAAAGAUUAGAUGUUGAUUGAAUGCAACAUUUCUGCUUGUAGGUGCAGUCCCACCAUAGCAUUGAGCUUAAGAUGUAUAUAAGCACUAGAAAAAAACUUGAAACUUUGAGUUGGUCUGGUGAGUUACUUGGCUUCUCCGUCUAACCGGUUGCAGAAAUAAACUCCUUUCUUUCCCAGUCUGUCUGCAUCUUAUUGGACAAUCGCGACGGACCAGCUCAGCAAACUCCUCUUUUGUGUGGUUAUCUGGGACUCUCUGGGAGGGGACAUUUUAAAUUUUCUAUUUCAAAGAGUUCUAUCGGCACUCUUGGACUGUUUUUCUCUGCCUAACCUGGGACCUGAGUUCUCCUGGACUUGAAUCUCCAGCCACAGAGUCCAGAAGCCCACACCUCCACAUUCUGUGACUGUUCCCCAAACACAGGGAGAAUUUGCAGAAAAUAUGCAUAAAAACCUUGCCAUUCUUCGCAAUAAAACCCCACAUUACAAACUGGCGAAAAGGGAGGAUUUUAGCCCGAAUAGGUUUUUCCUCUAUUUGAAACCAAUCAUUUCCCUUUUACAAUAUUGGAGUGAAGUUUCAAAAUCAAUAAGCACCUCCCUCCUAGGUUUAUCCUUACAUAAAGUGCCCCCUCUGCACAUGAAACAUUGAGUAAACCUUGAAAAUAUGAUGCUAAGUGAAAGAAGCCAGUCACGAAAGACCACGUUUUGUAAUUCCAUUUAAAUAAAAUGUCCAAAAUAGACCAAUACAUAGAAACAAAGUACAUUGGUGGUGGCCCAGGGUUAGGGGAGUUGGGGGGAAAUGGAGGGAUAUGCGGUUUUCUUCAGGGUAAUGAAAAUGAUCUAAAAUUUAUUGUGGUGCUGUUUGCACAACUGUGCAAAUAUACUGAAAACCGUUGAAUUUUACAGUUUCAAUGGG